rnacentral:misc_RNA from 1 species
AUCCCCUUUCCAACAAAAAAAGAAUUAUCAAAAUCGGUACAUCCAGUAGAAAGUUAUGCGGUAUAAUACAACGUAGGUCGCCGAAAAAAGCGUCAAGUAAAAACGCAUUAUUAGAUAUAACUCGAAAAGUAGUUGUUAGAUCUCAAAUAAAUUUAAAUGGGACCAAUUGGCACACACUACCUUUCGAUUAAAAAAAAUUGUCGAAAUCGGUCCACACGGUCAAAAGUUCUGAUGUAACAUACA